AGCUGUGCCGCAGGGGCGGGGCCGAGCCGAUGGUGUUGGACCGGCCCAGGCUGGUGGCCACGGCCGCCUCAAAGAGAUUGUUGUUCCUGGAACUGUCCAUCAUCAGCUGGGUCCAUACAGGCCAACUGGAAUAUUUCCUGCGGGGAGAGUGGACUCAUCGAAGGGUAUGCACUCCGGCCACUCCUGCAAAGCAAUGCCAUGUUCAGAGGUGUAAACUCAGUGAGAGAGGAGCCCAGUCAUGUUCACUGCGCUGCCCCCAGAGCAAUCACUACUUGAACACUACAGGGCUCGAGAAACACAGCUGGUCCCGAGGAACACGAGCGCUGCUCCAUGAAUGUCUCCAUUUCAGGAGAUGGACCAUCAUCUACCGAAAGCUCAAACCAGAAACCCAAAGGUCAUCUUUGAUUCCUUCCCCCUCUUCAUGCCAUGUAGCCAAUCAGUCACCAUUCAGACCCAUUCUGUGUAUGAAUUACCUCUCCAGUCUGGCUCUCUCUCUCGCCAUUUCCUAUUAAUCCAAGCCACAGUCUUUAAUAAUUCACACAAUUGCAGCCAUGUACUAGGUGAUGUUCCAUCUCUCAAACUGUCUCCCUCCAAUCCGCUGAGCCCACACCGGACUAAAGAAUGACCUUUGGAAAGCUGAAACCUGAUCACAUCACUCUGAUGACUGUAUCUCCCAUUACCCUUGGAUGAAACUAAACUUCUGUCUCCUAGCCCUGCCAAACCUGCCACUUCCCCUGACCUCUGUGUGCACCAUCCAUCAUGACACUUUUUAGGUUCCUUAAACUUAACCUGACUCUUACUUCAUCUCUUGAAGUGCUUGCUUCUGAGUCUUACUCAAAUGUUGCUUCCUCAGGGAAGCUUCCUCAAAUCCUCAAACUAUGUGAGCUGCUUCCUUUACACAGCAUCACAAUAGCCGACCGUCCCCCCCACCCCGACCCCCUGCCACACACACACAUUUUAA